rnacentral:lncRNA from 1 species
GGCCAAGUGAGAAAUGCAUGAAUUCUAACCCAAAACUCCUGAGUUUCUGCCACAUGAAUUGCUGUUUCAGAAACUAGUUAUGAAUCAUUUGCAGCCCGACAUCAACUGAAAGACCAGUUAACUUAGUCCUUUAUCUGGAGUCUCCCAAUUCUAAUGUUUUCUUUUCUUUUUUUUUUUAAGAUUUUAUUUAUUUAUUUAUAGAGACACAGAGAGAGAAUGAGAGGCAGAGACACGGCAGAGGGAGAAGCAGGCUCCAUGCAGGGAGCCCAACGUGGGACUCGAUCCAGAGUCUCCAGGAUCACUCCCCGGGCUGCAGGAAGCGCUAAACCACUGCAUCACCGGGGCUGCCCUGGAGUCUCCCAAUUCUAAAUCAAUAAUUUAUGAGAUCCGCAUGCAACUAAGUUAUGUGAACCUGAUGCUCUGCCUCACAGCAAAGCCUUCACAGUGUUCUCAUUUAAGCUUUGGAGGUGUUGACUCCAUGGAUCUGGGUGGAACAGGAUUCUCAGACUUCAGGCAGCCCCUCAUUCUCCAGGACUUCGCAGGAGGCUUCCUGAUUUCAGCUGGAUUUGAACCAGGAGGCUGGAGAAGCUGGGAGCUGCCCUGGAUCCUAAGGAUGAAGCUUGCACAGAGAAAGGCAUCCCUGUUGGCGCUGAUUCAUUUUCAUUUGCAUUCUCAAACUCUUCAAUUAGAAAUGCACCGUGAUCCAGCAGACAGUUUUCCUUCCCUCCGCCACAGUGCCGCGUCGCGGUGUGUGCGAGCUUUAGGGGCCCUGUCUGCCUCUGAAUGUCUCAUUUAUAAAAUGAAAAUCCUCUUGGUCUUGAUGCACAUUGGAAUUUUUAUGAACUUCUGCAAAGAGGCUGGCUUGCUAUUUUUUUUUUCAUUUUUGUAAAGUCAGUAUUGUUUUUUAGUGACUUUUUUGUGGGUGGACUUAAAGUUGCAUUUGUUUUCCUUUUUUUUUUUUCAUUUUUAACCAGUGCGUAGGGGAUAUGGCCUGGGCAUCCAACACAGUUUAGGGGCCCUUGGGUGACAAAGUUAAUGGUGAGAUCUCCUUCUCCCGGAAAAUUGACACUGGGGUGAUACUGUGAACUCACAUAUGCUCACUCCCCUUAGCCCAUGUCCCUGGCAGCCACUGAUCCAUCCAUGCUCCAAGUCUGACAUUUUUAGACUAUUACAUAAAUGGUAUCUUUGUGUUUUUGACUCUAGUUUGUGGUUAUGCCUGUUUUCCCAUUUAUGCCCACUUAUUUUCAAACUAUUCUUAACCCUACUUUUACA